rnacentral:rRNA from 1 species
GAUGAACGCUGGCGGCGUGCCUAACACAUGCAAGUCGAACGAGAAGUUAACCGCUGAUUCCUUCGGGAUGAGGAGGUUAGCAGAAAGUGGCGAACGGGUGAGUAACGCGUGGGUAAUCUACCCUGUAAGUGGGGGAUAACCCUCCGAAAGGAGGGCUAAUACCGCAUAAUAUCUUCACUUCUAAAAGAAGAGAAGAUUAAAGAUGGCCUCUGUCUUAAGCUAUCACUUCAGGAUGAGCCUGCGUCCUAUUAGUUAGUUGGUGGGGUAAUGGCCUACCAAGACCACAAUGGGUAGCCGGUCUGAGAGGAUGUACGGCCACACUGGGACUGAGAUACGGCCCAGACUCCUACGGGAGGCAGCAGUGGGGAAUAUUGCGCAAUGGGGGAAACCCUGACGCAGCGACGCCGCGUGGAUGAUGAAGGCCUUUGGGUUGUAAAAUCCUGUUUUGGGGGAAGAAACCUUAAGGGUCCAAUAAACCCUUGAAUGACGGUACCC